rnacentral:rRNA from 1 species
UACGUAGGUGGCAAGCGUUGUCCGGAAUUAUUGGGCGUAAAGCGCGCGCAGGCGGUCCUUUAAGUCUGAUGUGAAAGCCCUCGGCUCAACCGAGGAGGGUCAUUGGAAACUGGAGGACUUGAGUGCAGAAGAGGAAAGUGGAAUUCCAAGUGUAGCGGUGAAAUGCGUAGAGAUUUGGAGGAACACCAGUGGCGAAGGCGACUGUCUGGUCUGUAACUGACGCUGAGGCGCGAAAGCGUGGGGAGCAAACAGG